rnacentral:tRNA from 1 species
GGGCCGGUAGCUCAGCCUGGCAGAGCGGCGGGCUCUUAACCCGUAGGUCCCGGGUUCAAAUCCCGGCCGGCCCG